UCAGGAGUUCCCCCAGGAAUGCCAGGCCAGCCCCCAGGGGGACCCCCCAAACCCUGGCCCGAAGGUAAGACCCCAAAUUUCACCCAAAUUUCACCCAAAUUUCACCAAAUUUCACCCAAAUUUCACCCAAAAAUUCCUGCAAAUUCACCCCAAAUUCCUGCAAAUUCACCCCAAAUUUCUCAGCUCUGGGAGGGUGGGAAGGGAAAGAAAAUUCCUGGUUAAAAUCUUGGGGUUGGGGCUGAAAUUUUGGACAAAUUCAUCCACAAGUCAGAUACUCCGAAUUGGUGCAACUCUCUUUGACUCCUCCCAUAAUAAUUUGAUUUUUUGGGGGGAAUUUACAUGGAUUUCCUCAUAAUUUUGGGUGAUUUUUUUUUGGUUCUUUAGGGUCAAUUUCCACAUAAUUAAUUGGAAUUUUGGGUGAAAUUUGGAUGAAUUUCUCCACAAGCUCAUUCCAAUUCAGAUACUCCAAUUUUACAUUCCUGCCCAAAUAAUUCCAUUAUGUUUUGGGUAUUUAGAGUCGAUUUCCAAGUAACCUAAUAGGAAUUUUGGAUUUAAUAAUUAGAUUUUUUGGAGGGGAUUUAGGGUCGAUUUACUCAUAACCAAAUAGAUUUGGGUGAUUUUUUUUUUUUGGUUCUUUAGGGUCAAUUUCUGCAUAACCAAAUAGAAAUUUUGGACUAAUUUCUCACCAAAAAAAUUAAUUUUUUUUUUGUAAAUGAUGAAAUUUUUUUCUCUCCCCCCCAGGCCCGCUGUCGGCGGCGGCCCCGGGCGGGGCCCCCCAGAAGCUGCUGCCGCCCCCCCCCGCCGGCCGCCCGUCCCCGGUGCCCCCGGCGGUGCCGCCGGCGUCGCCCGGGCCCCCCCCGCCCUCGCCGGGGCAGCCGGCGCCGCCGGCGCUGCCCAUGCACGCCAAGCAGAACCGGAUCACGCCCAUCCAGAAACCGCGCGGGCUCGACCCCGUGGAGAUCCUGCAGGAGAGGGAGUACAGGCUCCAAGCCCGCAUCGCCCACCGCAUCCAGGAGCUGGAGAACCUGCCCGGCUCCUUGGCCGGAGACCUGAGGACCAAAGCCACCAUCGAGCUCAAGGCCCUGAGGCUGCUCAACUUCCAGCGCCAGCUCCGUCAGGAGGUGGUGGUGUGCAUGCGGCGCGACACGGCGCUGGAGACGGCGCUCAACGCCAAGGCCUACAAGCGCAGCAAGCGGCAGUCGCUGCGCGAGGCGCGCAUCACCGAGAAGCUGGAGAAGCAGCAGAAGAUCGAGCAGGAGAGGAAGCGCCGCCAGAAGCACCAG
rnacentral:lncRNA from 1 species